rnacentral:rRNA from 1 species
UACGUAGGGUGCGAGCGUUGUCCGGAAUUAUUGGGCGUAAAGGGCUCGUAGGCGGUCUGUCGCGUCGGUAGUGAAAACUCAGGGCUUAACCCUGAGCCUGCUUCCGAUACGGGCAGACUAGAGGUAUGCAGGGGAGAAUGGAAUUCCUGGUGUAGCGGUGAAAUGCGCAGAUAUCGGGAGGAACACCGGUGGCGAAGGCGGUUCUCUGGGCCUGUACUGACGCUGAGGAGCGAAAGCGUGGGGAGCGAACAGG